UACGUAGGGUGCGAGCGUUGUCCGGAAUUAUUGGGCGUAAAGAGCUCGUAGGCGGUUUGUUGCGUCGGCUGUGAAAUCCCGAGGCUCAACCUCGGGUCUGCAGUCGAUACGAGCAAACUAGAGUGUUGCAGGGGAGACUGGAAUUCCUGGUGUAGCGGUGAAAUGCGCAGAUAUCAGGAGGAACACCGAUGGCGAAGGCAGGUCUCUGGGCAUUAACUGACGCUGAGGAGCGAAAGCAUGGGGGAGCGAACAGG
rnacentral:rRNA from 1 species